CCAGGGUUUGAAGAAAGACACUGUAGCUUUUGGAUUCAGCAACGGAUCUUUCAAGAAAACAGUAUGGAGGGAUGACUCACUCCCCCCAUGGAGGCUGCCCUCUAGUUCGUCCUUUAGAGGAAGCAUGACCAAGGGUCUGCUAGUACUUUUCUCUCCCUCUCUAAGAAUUUCCUCAGGAGAGGAAAAAGUUAGCUUUCUUUUCUCUGCUCCCGAGUGCCACGGCCUGCAGUGCGUGACCAGUCCUCGGCACAGAGUCACUCAGGGCUCAUGGUAGAUUCUUAGCAGUCACAGCCAAUAGCUGCGCAGUGUGGCAGCAGCUGAGAUCCAUACUGCAGCCUGAAAGUUGUGUUUCAGCUUCUGAGGUUACAAGUGUAUCCAGUGUUUACAUCAGAGAUAAAGCCCCCUUUCCCCUCUCUCCUACGGGAGCCCUCAACAAGACAGAUACACGGGUUGGGUGGAGUGAGACCACAUGCAGCAGAGGCAAAGCUUGCUAAAAGAGAGAGAAGGAGGAGGGGGAGAGGGAGGAGGCGGCACGGCGUCCCUUGGCAGCUCCGUGCAUGCUGCGGCAGUUGCAACAGGAGAACCGAGUACCAGUUGCUCCACACUUUAUCACUUUGCAUUGCUCUUUCUCCUCCCUUAAGUGAAUUUCCAUUUUGAGGGUACAGCUCCACAGGAGAAAGGUGUGGUGGUGGUAGUGGUGGAGGGUGUCUGGGCGGGGGAUGGUGGUGCGACGGGAGUUGGAAUGUCCAGUGUGGGGAAGCAAAGGAGUGCCUACUAGGAUGCGAAUACCACUUGGCCCUGGGUUCGCUCCGCUUUAGCCUUCCCCUCUCGCUGGGGAGAAACAGGCGGUUUGUGAGGGAGACUGAGAGAGGGGCGUGUUUGUGGUGGUGGCGGCCCAUCGGGGGUCCUUGUCCUCUCCGAAUACCCGGACUGCUGAGGGGAAGGGCCGGGGGGGCCCCGGCGGUUGCCAUGGUGACGCAGGGUCGGCGGCUCCGCGCCGUAGAGACAAAGCCGCCCGCCCGCCAGCCCGCUAGCUCCUCGCGCGAGCUCCUCCUCCACGGGAACCUCCCUCCCCUCCCAGGCGCCGCCGCAGCCGGAGCGGCUCCCGGGCCCUGGGCCGCCGGCGGCCAGGCCAGUAUGAGAAGCCAGACAGCCUGGAUUUGA
rnacentral:lncRNA from 1 species